GAUUAAAUGGCUGAAGUUUAGGCGAUAGACUGUAAAUCUAUUUAUAAGAAUUUAUUCUUUUUAAUCA
rnacentral:tRNA from 14 species